CCGUAGAGAAACGAAAAGAAGCGUACUCCCUCUCUCUCCUCUCAAUCUCUAUACGCAUUCUCUCUCCUUCCGCUCUCUGUAAAUUCUCUCUUCACCCGCUCUGUUUGGCUCAUGCUUCUAGCUCUCUACGUAUUCCCUCUCCUCUCUCUGUAUAUUCUCUCACCUCUGCAGACCCACAGAUUUCGCAUCCUGCUACUACCAUUUGUCCCUGCUCCUCAAACCCUUGGGCGCACAGAAGCUCUCUCCCAUUCAAGGUAUGCUAACGCUCACUCUCUCUCUCUCUGGUUUUUUUAUUUCCGUCUCUCCUUUUAGUUUUCACUCUUUUCAAGUACAAAACCCCCAAAGCCCCAAUGAACAACACCCAAUCUGAGCAAUUUUGCCCCAAAUAUUGAGCAAAAUCUAGGAAAAAAAUAUGGUUCUUUCUCUGCAUAAUUUUUUGCUCAAAUUUUUUUAUAGCCUUUUUCGCCUAGAUUUUUGUUUUCGUUUUUAGUACAUUUUUUCCCAGAUUUUGUUUAAUGUCUUGAAUAUCCUGAAUACUGAGAACCUUGUGUAUAUAUGGUUCUUUCUCUGUGGCAUUUUUUGCCCUGAUUUUGUUAUAGCAUUUUUUUUUCUAUAUUUUUGUUUUCAUUUUUAAAGCAAUUUUUCCCAGUUUUUGCCUAGUAUUGGAAUACCGUUGCAAUACUGUUUAUAUGUGUAAAAAUGGUUGAAAAUUUAAAAGUUGGUAAAAAUGCCCUCUCUUUGUCUGAUAUAUAAACCUUGACAGCGCUGAUUUAAACCAAUCUGUGUUUAAGGGGAUAGUUCGAGAAAUACAUCCAACGUCUUCCUCCUUCAAAAGCUUAAAACUAAGAUAAUAGUGGUGAGAUUUUAUUGGAUGGAAAUAUAUGACCAUCGUAAUGUGGUUGUACGACUUCUGAUUCGUUCUAAUUAAUAUGUGUAGGCUAGAAAGGAAAAGCACACUAUAGUGAUGAAAUUUUUACCUUUUUUACCUUAACUCCAAAAUUAUUUCAGACAGACUGCUUUAUUGCGUUGGGGCAUGAGUUGAAAACAAUUCUUUAAAUUUCUGUUAGAAAGGUAAAGUAAAAGCAGCAAGAAUAUGUCAGAAUAUGAUCAUUUGAUAUAUCUUAAUAUGCUCAUAUGAAACUUUCUUAUGCUUUAGGACUCUUAUAACAGCUAUAAGUUUGAUAAAGUAGUGUAUGGUAGCAAUUUGAUUUCGUUUUUUUGGCAAACAUAUGGUUUUUAACCCUGUGUAUAUAUGGUAGCAUGACUUACACUCAUAUUUAAGGGCAUACAUGGUUCUUGAUUAUUUGGCCUGCUGAAUUUCCAAGGUUAACUAAUGCCUAUGUAUUAUGUUUGGAGCUUGAAAUGAGUGCAGUCAAUGUUUCUUGCCCAUAUUUUUUUAUAGCAAUUUGAUUUCAUUUUUUUGGUAAAUAUAUAGUUUUUAACCCUGUGUAUAUAUGGUAGGAUGACUUACACUCAUAUUUAAGGGCCCACAUGGUUCUUGAUUAUUUGGCCUGCUGAAAUUCCAAGCGUGUUCGAUUUAUUUAGAUGAUAGGCAAAGUUUCAUGAAACUUAGUAUUUUUUCCUUUGUUGUGAUAUGAACCAACACAAGCAUCAUUCAAUAGCUUCCAAUUCGGACUUCCAUAUGAAGAUGAACUGAUGAAUCAUGUUGAAAUUUUUUUACCAAUUUGUUCCAAAAAGUUUUCUUAGGAAGUAGUUUUGAAAAUUUGAGGUAGGUAUUGCUUGAGGUAGGUGUUGUUCCUCUAUUGUACACCUUUUUUUCCCUGAAAAUUGUGACAUAUAUGUAGAUGGGCUAUGAUUAAAUUGUGAUAUAGACUCAUUUUAUCUAGUCUUGGUAUCUUUACUAACCGUAGGCUUUAUGAGAUAUAUAAAGCCCUAUGUCAAUCUUUACUAUUAGAAUACCUACAGAAAGAUUUUUUUUUUUUUUUUUGCUGAUUUUGUACACUAUCUUUUAUUAUCUCUCAGAUUUCGUUAUAUUGAUUUCGAAAUUGAGUUUCCUUUUUAAGAUAAGUAUAUGAAUCCCUGUCAUGCUUUGCUUUUUGUUAUUUGGUGUUUCCUCUGCUCUUUGAUAAGGUAUAGUUUGCAUAUGCUCACUUUAAUGGCUGAUGCAAUCCAUGGAUGUGUUAGAGUGAGAAUAGGGCAUUGGAGUGCAUCUAAUCAUUUUAACUGAAUGGAUCUCAACAACCAAUUCCCUCCAAAGUUUUGUAAAUGCAAACCAGGAUGUGGUCGGAUGCAUGUGUUUCUUUCAAAGACACACGAUAACUACAAUAGAAAGAGACUGGAUGCAACUAUCAAGAGUGGUGUGAUGAAAUUCUAAGUGAAGAAAAAAAGAAUGUGGUUAAAAGGUUCGUGUCUCAGAGGCCAAGUGCUUAUGCUGCCGAUAGAGUAGAUGCAUCUUUGCUGAGAAAGAGAAGCGCAAAUCUAUUGCUAUGGUCCCUAAGAAAGCAGACGUUCAAAUUGUUUUUCUCAUAUGUGUAAUUUUAUUAAUGACAUUGAUAUUUGCCCUCUUUUUCUUUGUAAAAGGAAUGGAAAUAUGUUUUAUAGUAUCUAUAUAUUUAUAAUUGUAUACACUUAUUGUUCUCUAUCUUCUAUGGAUCAACAAUUUUCAUUUUAA